GACGAACGUUGGCGGUGUGCCUAAUACAUGCAAGUCGAACGGAGUUAGUAGCAAUACUGGCUCAGUGGCGAACGGGUGAGUAACGACGUUGGUGAUCUGCCUUGAAGUGUGGAAUAACGUUUCGAAAGAGACGCUAAUACCGCAUGUGCUCUCGAUUUUCAGAAAGUUGAGAGUAAAGGAUUUAUUCGCUUCAAGAGGAGCCUGCGUCCCAUCAGCUGGUUGGUAGGGUAACGGGCCUACCAAGGCUAUGACGGGUAGGGGACCUGAGAGGGUGGCCCCCCACAAUGGAACUGAAACACGGUCCAUACACCUACGGGUGGCAGCAGUAGGGAAUAUUAGAAAUGGACGAAAGUCUGAUCUAGCAACACCGCGUGUGCGAAGAAGGCCUUCGGGUCGUAAAGCACUUUUUGGAAGGAAUAGGAAGGAAUGUACUUCCAGAAUAAGUCUCGGCUAACUACGUG
rnacentral:rRNA from 1 species